rnacentral:rRNA from 1 species
UACCAAGGCGACGAUACGUAGCCGACCUGAGAGGGUGAUCGGCCACACUGGAACUGAGACACGGUCCAGACUCCUACGGGAGGCAGCAGUAGGGAAUCUUCCGCAAUGGGCGAAAGCCUGACGGAGCAACGCCGCGUGAGUGAUGAAGGUCUUCGGAUCGUAAAGCUCUGUUGUUAGGGAAGAACAUAUGUGUAAGUAACUGUGCACAUCUUGACGGUACCUAACCAGAAAGCCACGGCUAACUAC